UUUCCGUAGGUGAACCUGCGGAAGGAUCAUUACUGAGUGAGGGCCCCUCGGGUUUCAACCUCCCACCCGUUUUUAACGAACCUUUUUGCUUCGUCGGGCCCGCCUCACGGUCGCCGUGGGGCAUCUUCCCCCGUGCCCGCGCCCGCCUAAGCCACCUGUUACCGCUGUCUGAAGUAUGCAGUCUGAGACUAUUAUUAAAUUAAUUAAAACUUUCAACAACGGAUCUCUUGGUUCCG
rnacentral:misc_RNA from 1 species